UAAGUCCCGUGGGGCUGUCUAGGAAAGGGGUGGUCUCUAAGCGUGGCUUCCCCUGUUUCCUCAUCUUGGGGGUUGGGGUCAGGGUGGACUUGAGAGUGCAGGUGUGGGGAGGGGCUGCGUGCCAGAGAUCUCUUGACAUCCAGCCCGGAGUCUUGGAUGUUCACACACCCCCAGAUUUUUCUGCCUCUACGUUGGGGAUAGCGACAAAAGGGGAUGGAGGUUAAAGACUUGGGGGUGGGGUACCAAACGCUAGUGCACAGGCUGGGGACCUCAGAAGGCCCUGUCAUCAAGACUUCCCCAGGAGAGCUGACCGGCAGCCUCUGACCCCACCUCCAGGGACGGUUCAGCUGCUCAGAACCACAAAGCAAAACAAAGGGGCGCGGAGAGGAAGGAGCCACUAAGCCUUCCAAUCACCGCGGGCGCCCGAGCCCGCGCCCUCCCGCGGCUCGUCGCCCGGUCCUCCGGCUGGCGGAGACCCAAGGCCUGGCUGGGUAGCUCCCUGGUCCCUUGUCUCCCCGCGGCUGCCGGUGACAGGAGCCGAGGAAGCAGCCGUGUGGCAGCAAAGGCGAUGGGAAAACCAGAUGGUCCUAAACCUCCUCCUCCCUCUCCUCCUCCACCUACCCACCGACCCAACCAUCCAUCCAUCCUAUCCCAUCCCUCUCCCUCCAAGACCGCGGCCUGGCCGCCUUCCGCAGGGACCUGGCCGGGAUCACUUCGGGGAAAGGACUGCCUUUGUCUAAAGGUCACCACCCAGAGCGCGGUGCCCGGGUUGGGCCUGGUGCCUCCCAUUCCUAGGCCCACGGAGUUGGAGUUCAGGGGCCGCCCCAAAUCCCACAAGGGACGAUGGAGAGGGGAGAUCCAGUGGCCUGCAUCCCGGUUCAUCCCUCCCUACAAGCCUGCAGAAGACCCCCGAUUCUGCCUGGCACCCCAAGAGGGACUUGGGGUGGGGGUCGCACGGGACGCGCGACAGGAGGGAAGAUGGAUCCAGCUGCCUCUCUAUGGCCCUUGGCUCUCCCCAGAAAAGGCGGGGAGCGCGAGGAGGGGAGGGGGGGUCCCCGAGGAGAGCGGGGGGUUCCCGCCCCUCCCCCCCGUGGGACGUUCGUGCUCGCCCCUCUCCUCCGUUGCAUUGUAUCCCGGGAAGGACCAGGGAGGGAACCGGGGCGCAAGGUUUGAGAUCGGGGCGCAAUGAAGGGGGAGCUCUCUGCAAGAUCGGGGUGGCGGCGGUGGCGCGAGAGACCUGGGAUGGGGGUGUGCAGAUAGUGGUGGGCGCCGAUCACAAAAAAAAAAAAAAAAAAAAAAAAAAAAUUCCAGCUUGAACAGCGGCAGCGGGCGCUGCGCCCCGGUUGGGGGGCUGAGUGUAGAGUGUCGGGGGGGAGUGGGUUCGGCCCCAGCUCUGGCUCUCCCCCCCCAACACACACACCCUCGCCGCCGAGCCCUACUCCCCCCCUCGCUUUUGCGCCCUGUCACAGCCCCGACUCGCAGGUAGAGAGAGUUAAGAGAUUUAAAGAGAAAUUGCUACAUUGUGAGAAACUCACCCUGAUGUUUGAGCAGCCGUCGGCGCGGGGUCUCCGGGACGGCCCCGCACGGGCUGCACAGGGAGGACCCAGAAGGGGCCGGCCGGCCGGGCCGGUCAGCGCACUGCCUGAUCGCAUGGCGGGGCCCGGCUCUACUGCGCCCGGGCCCGCCGCCGCCCUUGCAACGAAGCGGCCCCGCGCGGCCCGGCCCCGCGCCCCGCUCCGGGGAGCGCCCCUCGGGUAUGCAAAAAAAAAAAAAAUUUUUUUUAAUUAAAUGCAAAAAAAAAAAAAAAAAAA